GGUGGCACGUGCCUGUAAUCCCAGCUACUCAGGAGGCUGAGGCAGGAGAAUUGCCUGAACCCAGGAGGCGGAGGUUGCGGUGAGCCAAUAUCGCACCAUUGCACUCCAGCCUAGAUAACAAGAGCAAAACUCCAUCUCAAAAAAAAAAA